rnacentral:rRNA from 1 species
CAGCAGCCCGAGUGGUGGCCGUUUUUAUUGGGCCUAAAGCGUCCGUAGCCGGUUCGGUAAAUCUUUGGGUAAAUCGAUGGGCUCAACUCAUCGAAUUCCGAAGAGACUGUCGAACUUGGGACUGGGAGAGGUCGGAGGUACUCUAGGGGUAGGGGUGAAAUCCUGUAAUCCUUAGAGGACCACCAGUGGCGAAGGCGUCCGACUAGAACGGGUCCGACGGUCAGGGACGAAGCCGUGGGUCGCGAACCGGAUUAGAUACCCGAGUAGUCC